CUCCACAGCUAACUAGAGUUGCAUCCGAGAAGCCUGUGACGUCACUGCGGUAGUGGUGGCAGUCUGCUACUACAUCCACAGUUACUGCAGCGUAGAAUCAGGUGGCCAGCUUCAAGUCCAGGCACAUCCCUUUGGACAAGAACCAGCAUCACUUCUUAUUUUACUUCGACUGUACCAUACAAAUGAAAUAAAUAGCAGCAUUACUGUCA